CCACAGCCCCAGCUGGUAGUUUGGCUUCUCCCAUGCAGCCUCCCUCUUAGGCCCAACCAUAGUAUCAAAACUCUCAACAGCUAUCCCAGACCUGCUGGGUCAUCCCUCACAACAGAAACUCAGUGUUUGGGUAGAGUGGAGAGGCUUGUAGUGAUCUUAACUUUCCUGAGAAUGCUCAGCCUAAUUAUGUCCCGGGUAUAGAAUCCAACCUCAUCCUUGAAAAACUGAAAGCUGUCCACAGCUAUAAUCCUAAAAUAUUUUAUUGGAAUCUUAAAAGCAGACAUAUGUUCAUUACAACAUCCACUGCUCUGUUAAGUACUCCAUCUGGCAUGGCACAGAAUAUGGCAAC
rnacentral:lncRNA from 1 species